AUCGGAAGAAGAUACCAAGGGCGCACGGCGGAUGCCUUGGCACAGGAAGUCGACGAAGGACGCGGCAAGCUGCGAUAAUCUGCGGGGAGUGGCAAACACACCUUGAUCCGCAGGUCUCCGAAUGGGGGAACCCACCUGGGGCCAUGCCCAGGUACCCCAUCCUGAAUCAGAUAGGGAUGAGGGAGGCAACCGGGGGAACUGAAACAUCUAAGUACCCCGAGGAAGAGAAAUCAACCGAGAUUGCGCGAGUAGCGGCGAGCGAAAGCGCACCAGCCCAAACCCGGGCGCGUGUAAGCGGCAGGCGUUGCCGCCCGGGGGUUGCGGGACGCACGUGCGGGAGCUGCCCUCCCGCGUGAGGUUACAAAUCCACAUGGUAGCGGAACGGCAUGGAAGGGCCGGCCGCAGCGGGUGAGAGCCCCGUACGCGAAACCAUGCGGACCUCAGUUGCGCAUCCCGAGUAGGGCCGGGCACGUGAAACCCGGUCCGAAGCC
rnacentral:rRNA from 1 species